GAUGAACGCUAGCUACAGGCUUAACACAUGCAAGUCGAGGGGAAACGGCAUUGAGUGCUUGCACUCUUUGGACGUCGACCGGCGCACGGGUGAGUAACGCGUAUCCAACCUUCCCAUUACUGUGGGAUAACCUGCCGAAAGGCAGACUAAUACCGCAUAGUCUUCGAUUACGGCAUCAGAUUUGAAGUAUAGAUUUAUCGGUAAUGGAUGGGGAUGCGUCUGAUUAGCUUGUUGGCGGGGUAACGGCCCACCAAGGCUACGAUCAGUAGGUGUUCUGAGAGGAAGGUCCCCCACAUUGGAACUGAGACACGGUCCAAAAGCCUACGGGAGGAAGCAGUGAGGAAUAUUGGUCAAUGGACGGAAGUCUGAACCAGCCAAGUAGCGUGCAGGAUGACGGCCCUAUGGGUUGUAAACUGCUUUUGUAUGGGGAUAAAGUUAGGGACGUGUCACUAUUUGCAGGUACCAUACGAAUAAGGACCGGCUAAUUCCGUG
rnacentral:rRNA from 1 species